GGUCUUACAGUUUUUGGAAUACCAAAUUGCAAGUUUGGCGGUGUAAAGUUUUUCUAAGGCUU
rnacentral:tRNA from 2 species